UAAAGCAUUUUCUGCUUCAUAUUUUAUCUCCUAAAAUACUGCAUAUAAUUAGGUUGAUUUUGCAAUUACUCCAGUGGAUACUAAACACUGGGAGAUGGGGAUGUAUUAUCAUUUAAAUAAUGUUAUUUCUAAUAGUGUACCAAAAUACCAAACUUCAAGCAUAUUCCAGACAAGGAGCCUCUGUAACCAGUAGCUCCUCAUCUCACAGCUUAGUUGCUUCAGUUGGCACUGUGACUGCCGUUACAGUGACACUUUCAGAGCAUCAGUCAAGCACAUUAAUGCAGCUUUAAUUACUGAUACAGUUACUCUACCAGUAUAUAAACCUCACUGUACCAGCCAGUUAAUUCUUUGUGGGCAUUUAUGUUUAUGAUUUAACCCACAGCCCAAAAUCAUUUGCCCUUUAAUAAAGUUUGUUGCUUUAUCUCUCUGUAUCAUGCCCUAUGGAAGCCUUUCAAAAUUUAUUCCUCACAGGUUUAGAAGUCAUCACUUCCACUGUAUUAUUAAGAAAACCUGAACUUCUUAUCUGGGGUUUGGGUUGAAUUUUUCAUUUUUAUCUUCCCCCGCAGCUUCUUUGGAAUAUCAGGUCUCUGAUCUGCCUGCAAACCCCAAGCAGUUAAAUACUACUUUGGGCAGCUUUUCUACUUAAGGGCAUGAUUUCAGACUGCUUGUUAUGACAGCCUUGCAGUACCAGUUGUUAUCUGGCAUGGGUAAGUAUUUAACUUUGUAUUUUCAUUGGAAUCACACUCAUUUAUUCUCUGUUGUGUGAGUACUGGAAGUUUAACAUGUCAUUAGUAUUCUCUGUGGUAUUUUGAAAAAUAUCAGCUGAAUCAUUAUGAUACAAGGAAAAUAGGUGCCUCCCAAAUUUGUCUCCAAUUUUCCUCCUCUUAGGGCAUGCAAACUAUGUGAAAACUUCAUUUUUGGCUUGGCACAAAAGCAGUUCCACAUAGAGCUGAGCAUUAUUGAAAAGUAAUUACACCAUCCUCGGCUUCCCAGCAGUGAAAGAAAAGAGGAGUUAUCAGAGGAGGAUGAGCCAAGAGAAUGACCUGGUUUUCCAACACUGUGCACAGGGAGACAUAAGCCGUGGCUGAUGAGGAAUGCUAAUGGUGUCAUGCAGCUGGCAUCCCGUGCUAAAGCAAGCAGCCGCAGUGACAGCUUGGGCUGCCACCGGAGGAAAUCAGUGCCUGUCUUGCAGGAAGCAGAGCUGCCUGCUUUCUCAGCAGUGUCCUGAGGGAUUUCACUGCAGCUCUUUAUUAUUACCUUUAUUUUAUACUUCACUCAUGGGGUCAUUAAGCAUGCCGUGUGAACGCACGAUUUAGAUCUCCCCUAGGGGCUCUGGCACAGGUAAUGGUACAUGUACUGCAUGGCUUUGUGGUGUCAUUGGCUCAUAGAAGCUCAUCUAAGGUGUGGUAGGAGGAGACAAUUUGCCCCAUGGACAGCAGCAGUAACCACAUCUGCUUCCCAUGAUUUGUGCAGAAAUCCUAUCUCACCUCAUCCCAUCCUUGUCUCCCUCCUCCUCCACAGCCCAGGUUCCCUCCAUAUCUCCUAACAUCCUUUGCCCCCAGUAGCCUGCCAAGGACUGGCCAGGGAGAAGACAGUGUAUGCUGAGGCUGGUCCAAGCCAGUGCUGUUUGGCUAAACAGAGCAGAUGAUCACUGAGCUCCUGCUGAUGCCUCAUCUCAGUGCAAGCAGCCACUCGGCUGCAGAACAAAAUGAUGAGCAGAAUGUGUUUACCCAGUGCCCACUCCCCAAAAGAAGAGGACUCUAUUUGCUAAAUAAAUCCUUUUUACUUGGAAGAAAAAGCUGAAAACAAAACCUUCUGCAGGUGGGUCAUUUUAACAUGACUCCCUAGAAAACGAAGAAUGCUACUCUGGAGAAAUGCAUAUCUGACUGGAGCUGAGUGGAAGGUAUAGCAAAUAUGAUGGACUGCCUUUGCUGCAAUGAUAGACUGCUACUGUUGGUGUCUGCACCUUUCCUCAGACUGAAAAAGAAGCAUCUCUCUGCCUCUUACUGGUAUUUCUGUUGGAAAACCAAAGUUUAAAAGGUUUCCCUUCAUCCCUAGUGUCAACUCUUCCUAUCAUCUUCAAGAGGAUUGAACUGUUGAGAAGAACCCCUGCAUACAAGGAGAAAGAAGACAUGGAGCUCAGAAAAUGGGAGAAGGUACUAGGGCGUUCCUGCCCUGAGCAGCUCAGACAAAAAUGCACUUUGGACUGAUUCUUUCCUCCCACCCCAAGAGCUGAGUGCUCCAGCUGGAUGGCUACAGAUUUUUAACUAUACCCAGUGUCAACUAUACCGAGUGCCACUACAUGUGAAAGGAGAUGGAACAGGGAACAGACUCUCAAGCCCAAGCACUCAGAAACUGAAGCAACCUUUUCCCUAGUUUGGAAGGUGGAUCAUUAUUUGUAUUUGUCUUCUGUUGCACUGAGUUUGCAGUAGCUAGGGACAUUUUAUUUUCAAUGGAAGAUGAAAUUCCUGCGUAAUCACGUAAUUCCUGCACCUGAGGCUUUAAGAAAAAACACUGACCGCUGCAGGAGUUGGCAGCAGUGGGGGAAGAGGAAGAGGAGAUGGAGGAGGAAAUAAUCUCAUUCUCUCACUGCAGGAGUGGAAUCCGACCCUGCUGCUGAUGAGUGGUGAUAGAGGCAGCAUCCGAGAGCAAGAGGAAAUGGGAGAACCAGAGGAGAAAAGAGCCCUUAGGAAGACAUCCUUAAGAGAAGGAAAUACUUGGGAUUAGCAGGGAAGGUCAUCAGGCUGUGCAGCCCUCAGACAUCUGUCCAAACCAAUUUGGAGCUCCUGGCUGCUGGGUUGCCUCAUUAGUGAGUAUUUUUUGUGCUCCAAAAGAUGAGGUGGGGAAGGAUGUCUUUCCUGCUCCUGUUUAUCUGCGUCAUAGGGAUAACACCUGAUUUUGUCUAUAUCCAACUGUGAACCAUACUGAAAAGAAAGUGUGGAGGCAAAAAAAAACAAACCUCAAAAUGGUAGAAGUGCCUCACAGUUGGAAGUAAGGGGAACUCAGAGCUGGAGAUGCAUUUUGUGCUUUGUUCACUUUGUCUCUUUGGAGCAGAAAAUGUAAAUUUUUACUCUACUAACCUACAAAAUGUGGAUAUGGAGCCAUACAAUGUUAGGAAUCCAAGUAUUAAAACUGAGUACAGAGAAAUGAGGCAAAAGGAAAUUUUUGUAUAUUUUGCCUCUCCAGACAAAACAGGACUGCUAAAAUAUGUACGUAUACAUUGAGCUGUGGCAUCAGUUUUCUAGUUCUGCAUUAAUAUCAUCUGUAGUAGCAGAAACACUGUAUAAAGCAUUCAUCCAUCAUUUUUUUCUUAUUUUGUGUAAGGUGACUACACAGUUCAGUCUUGUACUCUCCCUAAUAGUGUGCCACUCUUCUUUUUCCAGUAGAUUUGAGAGGAUGAAGUUUAUGUUUCUGUUUUCAAGUGUUGCUUCCUUCACAGGCAGGAAAUCCUCCCUCCCUCCAUGCAUGUUUAAAAUAGUUGACAGAUCCCCCAAUUAAUUGCAUAUCAAACUGAAGUUCUUUUUCCUGUCCUACGUGACUAUGCACUCCUCUUAAAUAGUCCAUCUGUUUUCUUACUCCCAAUAAGAAUAUUGAAAACAUCCCCUACCUACCAAAACAAAAACUCUCCUGGGAAGAUGAAUGUGGCAGUAGCAUGUGCCAGUGAGAUCACUCAUGUAUCACUGGGCUAUCUUUAAGUAUUACCAACAGGAGACCUCUCAGAACAUAUAUAAAAUACAUAGUAACAUCUCCAAACUAGUCAAGUCCUUUUCCUAGUUUAUAUCCCUUCCAAAGAUGUGUUUUGAAAAAUUGACCUUCCUAAUGAAUACAGCUUUCUGGGUUGCUCUUCUGUAUAUAUCACUAUAACCUUUGUCCUUCCCUCUACCCCUUCCUCCUUUCUUUGCCUGUUAAUAAUUCACAAUUACUGUACCAUAACCAAGCUCUGCCCAAAUUUCUCUUCCUAUCUCUCUCUAUAGCUUUUUCUAGAUUGGUUUUGUUUGUUGGUUGGUUGGUUUGGUUUUGUUUUUAAAUAUAAUCUGAUCCCUCCUCCUGCACUUGCAUUCUGGAAUGGCAACUCAAAAUACAAGUAAAUCACUGAUGAAGGGUGUAAUACAGAACACACCUGAAAAAACAGCUGUGCAAACUGUAACAUUGAAUUUUUGGUCUUCAAUACAGGGUUUGUUGCAAGUGUAUGUAAGAGAUUUUCUGACUUCCUAAUCAAUGUACCUGCUUUUACUAACUUCAUCUAUAACCUACUAGUGCUUUUAUCACAAAAAAAGGAGACAUGAUAAUGGAACUGUAGAUAUUUCUGAGUUAAUUUCCUCCUCAUUUAAAAUUAUUUGCAAAAGAGAAUGUGGUAACAGAUUAAAAGAGUGAACAAAUUCCAUCU